GCGUUCUUAACUUAAGAGGAUAAAGUGUUAACCUUCGAAGUUAAUGAUAAUGGUUCGAGUCCAUUAGAACGUA
rnacentral:tRNA from 1 species